ensembl:snRNA U2 U2 spliceosomal RNA
AUCGCUUCUCGGCCUUUUGGCUAAGAUCAAGUGUAGUAUCUGUUCUUAUCAGUUUAAUAUCUGAUACGUCCUCCAAUGUGAGGACUAUAUAUUAAAUGGAUUUUUAGCACUGGGAGCUGAAAGAGGGGUUUGCUCCUUUCACUCCACGCAUCGACCUGGUACUGCAGUGCUGCCAGGAACGGUGCAUCCUUC